GAGAGGGCUGGGCAGGUCACGAAGCCACUGUUUGAGAACGCUGGCAAUGACAUGGAUGUUGUAGUCAUCCAGGUUCACACUGCUCACAUCUGGAACAGAGCAAUAUGUUCAGAGUCAGUCUAACCUGUGUCCAGCCCCUGGCGGAGUUCUUUGAUCUUAUUGGUGGAGCCCGACUUCCUGUAGAUUCCCUCUGUGUAGAGGCCGUGCAUCUCGAUGUAGUUUAUGAGUUUCUCCACCAGCUGAGGCACUGUUCGCUCCUCGCUGGUCAGACGGGACAACUCCACACCAUACUGCCGAGACGACAGCUCCGGAUCAUACUUGGAUACAAAACACAGAAACACCUUAAAGUCACAGUAAACACUUCCUGUGGCAGGCGUAGCGACACACUGCAGAACAACAGAACAACACAAUCAGACUGAUGGCAUUCCUCCAACCACUGCACAACUGCACCAACAUCUGCCGUCAGUCACAACCCCAAAGACUGAGACUGCAAACACUGAGGCGGUGGUGGAGAGUUUGAAUAUGACGUCUGCUUCUCACUACGCAGGCUCGAUCCAUCAUCCAGAUGAGUGAGGAGCAGUACUCGCAGUAGGUGGGGAUACUGUACUGUGUGGACUUGAAGAUGUGGCCGUUGUGUUCUUCCACCUGCAAGGGGGCACCAGAACCACCAGUCAGCUCAGCUCAGUUAUCACCUUUAUUCCAAACAGUUUGUUUCAGUAUAGACACUAUUUAAAGUGUCCUUAAAAAUGUACAACUCACAAUGUCCGUUUCCUUUUUCCUCGACUUCUUGCGUUCACGUUUAGGAGCCUAGAAAGAGAGAACUGUGUUACCUCGUGCAUUUUGUGUAUAUUAUAUGUAUUAUUUGUAUUGCAAAGUGCAGUAAAUAAGUAAGAUAGUAUGUGAUGUUAGUCAAUGACAUUCUAAUGGCAAGCAGUGACAAUGCCAAAAUCCAACUAAACUGCUUCUUCGAGCAAAAUUAAAAUGGCUGGCAAAACAA